rnacentral:lncRNA from 10 species
GAAGAGAGAGAGGAGAGAUAGUGAGGGCCAGAUCAGAUCAUGUAAGAUCCUUUAAACCUCUGGUCAUCACUUUAGUUUAUAUUCUCAGUGAGAUGGGAAGCCAUUUGAGGACUUUUAGGCCAAGGAUGGAUAUAAUCUCUCUUAACUUUCAAAAUGAUCACUUUGGCAACAGUAUGGAUAAUGGACUAUAUGGCAGCCAAGUGUGAAAGUAUUGAAAUCAAUUAAGUCUAUUGUAAGUCUAAACAAGAGGUAAUGGUCCACACUGCAGUGUGAACAGUAGAGAGGUUGAGAAGUAAUCAGAUUCUGGAAGAGCUGAUAGGAUUUUCUAAUGGGUUAAAUAAAGAUGUGAGAGGAAGAGCAGAAUCAGGAUGAUUCUAGUUUUAGACUUGACCCACUAAAAGAAUGAAGAUGCAAAAGAGAGAAUAGUAGUCCUUUCUUUGCCAAAAAUCAGCUCUGCAUAGCUGUGUCUAUUUUGUUCCAUUGAUCUAUGUGUCCGUCCCUCUACCAGGACCACUCUGUUUGGAUUCCUGUAGACACAAAAUCACAUUGGGUUUGUGAUUUCUCCAACCUUAUCGUUUUCAAAAUUGCUUAAGUAAUUCUAUGUAUUUUGCCUUUCCAUACUCAUUUUAGAAUGAGCUUGUCAAAAAAUCAUGCUGGGAUUAUGUUGGCAAUUGCAUUAAAUCUAUAGAUCCAUUUGGUGAAUAUUACUGUCUUUACUAUGUUGAUUACUCCAAUUCCUGACUACAGUAUGUCUCUCCAUUUAUUUAGGUCUUUAAUUUUAUAAAUCAGCAUUGUUUGGAUUUUACUAUAUACAUCCUAUGCAUGUUUUCUUAGAUUUACACCUAAGUAUUUCUCUUUUGGAGGAAUUAUUCUAAAUGAUAUUUAUUUUUACUGUCAGUUUUUAAUUACUCAUUGCUAGAAUAUAGAAUUAUAAUUGUCAAUUAAGUUGUGACAGAUUAAUUUCUUUCUGAUUCGUAUGCCUUUUCUUUUUUUUCAUUUUUCUUUUUCUUUUGCCUUAUUGUGCUGGGUGGCAUUCCAGUAAUAUGUUGAAUAUGAAUGGUAGAAGUGGACAUUCUUGAAUUGUUCCCCAUCUUAGGAAGGAAGCAUUCACUCUUCCACCAUUAGGUGUGAUACUAUGAUGUUAUCUGUAGGCUUUUUUUUUUUUUUUCGGAAAUGCUUUUAUGAGACUGACGAUAUUCUCUUCCUCUUCUAGUUUACAGAGAGAUUGUAUCAUGAAUGGGAUUAAAGCUUGUCAAAUACUUUUUUCUGCAUCAAACAGUAUAAUCACGUGCCUUUGCUUGUUUUGAUUUUUAAUUUGUAGAAUACUUCGAUUUUUAAAAUAUGGAUUAAGCCUUGCAUUAGUGGAAUAAGGGAAUAAAGUCCACUUAGUUUUAGUGUAUUACUCUUCUUAUAUGUUGUUAGAUUUGAUUUGCUAGUACUGUAUUGGGAAUGUUUGUGUCUAUGCUCAUGGGGGAUAUUGUUCUGUACUUUUCCUACGGUAACUGUCUUUGGUUUUGGUAUCAGAGUAAUGCUGACCUUAUAAUAUGAACUGGGAGUCUUCCCCUCCUCUUCUGUUUUCUGAAAGAAGUUGUAUAAGAUUAAUAUUAGUCUUUCUUUAAAUAUUUGGCAUGCUUAUAUUUUAAAAAAUCAUGUUGACAGAAUUGAGGUGUAUAUGUAAAGUAGAAUCAGGAAGGAGGCCACUGAAGUUAUUUUCAUGAGAGAUAAAGCUGUCUUGGCUAAGUAGAUAAUUAUAGGGAUGUAAAUAGACAAUUAUGUAACAUAUAUAUGUAUACUGGGUAGCAUUCCAGUAAUAUGUAGAAUAUGAAUAGUAG